CAUAUUCACGCCGGCCCCUCACUCUCAGGCUCUCCCACCUCGCUCGCCCCUCGGUCUCCCUCUCUCUCAUAUCUUGUCUCAUAAUCUUGCCAACGUUGGUUGCCAGUCGCCCACAGCAAGCCUCUCACAGUCAUCGCCAUCGGUCUCACCAUCUCCAGUGCCCAAACUAGCUUCCCUUUCAUCCCCAUCAUUUUCUCUGAGCUGAGUCUAGCUCUUUCGUUCGUCUAUCUGUGUUUCAAUUUGUUAAUUCCCAAAUAUUCGUAACGAUGUUAAAAGAGGAAAGGGAGGAGAAGGAGUUGGAUCUCUCUUCUUCUCCUGAAGUCGCCAUCAAGUACAACUUACGAGAGUGCCGCCGAGAUCAUUAACAGCUUUGCAGUUAGUAGUAUCCGAAUGCAAACCAAAGGAAGAUUGUAGACAUUUUCUAGAAGGGUGAUUCGUACAUCCGAGUGCAAACCGGAAACAUGUACACGAAUGUUAAGAGGGUGUUGCUUUCCCAACUUGCAUUUCUGUCAACAACACUCUUAUUUUUCGCCGCUUGCCAGAGAUGAGAGACACUGAUGUGUUAAAAAUCGAUAUGGGUUGCCACAUUGAUGGGUUUAUUGCUGUAGUGGCGCAUACUGAUCAUGUUCUCCAGGAAAGCCCAGUUACUGAAAGGGCAGCUGAUGUUAUUGCCGCAGCUAAUACUGCUGCAGAGGUUAACCUCAAGAAAUCAGGGGACCACCCACUUUAAAUACUGCUGCAAAGGGGUAUUGAAGUGCUGCGGAAAAUGAGUCAUCCUGUUAACCAUAGACUAUAUAUUUGAUAUUUGUUGGGAUAGAGUAUAGUGCAUAUCAAGAUGCUACCUAGAUGGUCCACCUACACAAGAGUUGGAACUAUCUUGGAGGUUAUGAAAUAUAUAAAUUGGUAUACUUGAAUAUUAUUAUUACUAAUAAGAAAAAAGCAUCAUUUUUCCUAAGCGUUGUGUCAUGCUCAUAU